rnacentral:rRNA from 1 species
AGCGAACGCUGGCGGCAGGCCUAACACAUGCAAGUCGAACGAACUCUUCGGAGUUAGUGGCGGACGGGUGAGUAACACGUGGGAACGUGCCUUUAGGUUCGGAAUAACUCAGGGAAACUUGUGCUAAUACCGAAUGUGCCCUUCGGGGGAAAGAUUUAUCGCCUUUAGAGCGGCCCGCGUCUGAUUAGCUAGUUGGUGAGGUAACGGCUCACCAAGGCGACGAUCAGUAGCUGGUCUGAGAGGAUGACCAGCCACACUGGGACUGAGACACGGCCCAGACUCCUGCGGGAGGCAGCAGUGGGGAAUCUUGCGCAAUGGGCGAAAGCCUGACGCAGCCAUGCCGCGUGAAUGGUGAAGGUCUUAGGAUUGUAAAAUUCUUUCACCGGGGACGAUAAUGACGGUACCCGGAGAAGAAGCCCCGGCUAACUUCGUGCCAGCAGCCGCAGUAAUAC